AUACGUAGGGUGCGAGCGUUGUCCGGAAUUACUGGGCGUAAAGAGCUCGUAGGUGGUUUGUCGCGUCGUCUGUGAAAUUCCGGGGCUUAACUCCGGGCGUGCAGGCGAUACGGGCAUAACUUGAGUACUGUAGGGGAGACUGGAAUUCCUGGUGUAGCGGUGAAAUGCGCAGAUAUCAGGAGGAACACCGGUGGCGAAGGCGGGUCUCUGGGCAGUAACUGACGCUGAGGAGCGAAAGCAUGGGUAGCGAACAGGAUUAAAUACCCUGGUAGUCCAUGCCAUAAACGGUGGGCGCUAGGUGUAGGGGUCUUCCACGACUUCUGUGCCGUAGCUAACGCAUUAAGCGCCCCGCCUGGGGAGUACGGCCGCAAGGCUAAAACUCAAAUGAAUUGACGGGG
rnacentral:rRNA from 1 species